UUUGCUUUGCUUGGGAGGAGGGGAUAAAAAGUAGAAAGAGAAACUCAAACAACCAAUAUAAAAGUUACACUGCAUAAAAGUAGGCUCCUGCAAACAAUAGAUAGAUAAACAACCAUGCACCUCAGCACUGAAGAUGAUAAUACUUAAUUCCAAAUAAAAUCUAUUACUGCCCAAACCCUGAGUGUACUGACAAAGGCUUUGCUCUUUUCAGUAGACUGAACAGUACUGGGGGGGGGGGGGAUGAUCAAACAAUAUCUCUGUGCAUUCAAACUUUUUUAAAGAAACAGCAGGAAAGAAUCCACUGAAUUGAUCUUUCCCAGCACAACUUUAUGAAGGGCAGCACAGAAGCUGUUCCAUGCAGCAGACAGCACUUUCCCUUCCUUGCCUUCUGCUUUGCAUGAGCAGAGCACAAAGGACGAAGCUCAGACAUGUGCAAUGGCCCCAAAGGUAAGGGGGGAAUGUUUCUUGGUGGCAGGACACUUGGUCUCCGAGGGCCCAGCCCCAUGGGUGCUGCUCCUAGGGUAUCACACUUGCCGAGGAAAGCCUGGAGAAGCCUGUGGGGACCCUUGUUUUGUAUGGAGGGAGAGGGGAAGGAGUGGACCAGGCCUUGGAGCAGGCUCAGCAGGCUGCUUGGGGACCAGCGAGUGGGGAAAGGAGAGGGAGCCGAAGGCAACCACUGCCAUAGCCGUGUUGGCACGAUGUCAGCAAGAGCAGUAGUGACUUGGAUCAGCUCUGCGCUGUGACCCUUCCCGACUACAUCGCGGGACCGCUGCGAUCACCAUGGAAACAGCGCAUCCCUGCGGCGCGGUUGCCUGGUGAUGGCGGCGGAGCCGAGGCCGCCGCAUAGGGUGAGCGAGGCCGGGCCGAGCCCCUCCGGCAGCGGCUGACCCGGGGCUGGGUCUCCUCGGCCUGGCUGGACGCUUUUACCAGAGCACAGCCCCUCCUGAUGGCCGGCGCCGCAGUGGCAGCCUUGCGGAGGUGUGAGUGUGGCACCAGGGUGGAAGCAGGAGUGGCAGGUCCUUGUCAUAACGAGGGCUGCAUCCCCCAGCCGGCGUCCCAGAGGAGAAGCAGAUGGUAUGCUUUCGUUGGGUAGAUGGAAACACAUAUGAAUAAAUGCUACAUAUCAGUGUAAUGAGGCUAUUUGAAAAGAAAUUAGCACCUUUGCAAGCCUGGAAGAUGAUUUAAAUUGAGAGGAUGGACCGAGAUGCAUGUGAGCUGCAUAUUUUAAAACACAGGGAAGUAUUUGCAAGGUCUUAGGAGGAAAGAGCCUGAAAGGCACAGAACAAAGCAUCUGCUACAAGAGAAACAUUGAGAAAGAACAGACUUUUGAAAUUCUGUGCUGCUAAAAACUGUUCAGCUUCUGUCUUAGAAAGAUGCAAAGGGUCCCUACUCUCAAAAGCGCUCACAAGGGCAGUAUGGAGAGAAGAAAUAUUGUCUUUCAUUGAAGUUCCUGGGCGAGUCAUUCACCCUCGGUCUGACUCAACACUGAGCACUGCUGCACCCCCCAGAACAUCUCCCAGCUCACACCAGUCAUUGCCCAAGACAACAUACUCAGUCUUCAGAGCAUCCUGAUGGCUCAGUGCAGAGCCUUUAGCCAAGCUGCUGUGCUAGGGAGCACAGGGACUGUGAGCCUGACUCUGACAUCAUUCUGCAUCCCAGCACCUGGAAGUCUUGCUGACACCUGUCUGAAGCAAGUGUGUAAGUACCCUGGUAUCUCAUGGCCUGCUUUCCUAAGAAGCCUUCUAGUACAGUAUCAAAGUCUAAAAACAAUGCUUGGGUUUUCUAGAAUUUGCUUGAAAAUCUUAACAGCAAAAUUCCUAAAUGAGACAAGCAGAUUUUUCAAUGAUGCAUAAAUACAUUGCUGCUAGACUCAAGUAGUAAUCUGGAUCAUUUUCAUUUGCUGAGAAAGGUUAUCUGCAUGGAGCUGCAAACCACAGUUUAGGGAGGCUGAACUGGCUGCCCAGCUUCUACACAGCAGGAUCUGCUCUCGUGCUCCAGCAGUGCUGUUGCUAUGGCUUUGCCCCAGCGUAUAUGAGAUCAGAAACUGGCUCGCUGCCAUGUAUAUGGUUUUUGCGAGAACUGAAUUGAAUUAUGCUUGUCAUUGUUUGCUUGGGGUGUUUUUCCCUAGCAAGAUUAACAAUAGCACUGCUCACAAAAUCCUCAUCUUAAGAAAGAAAUUAUGUUGAUCUUUCCUUUAAAAGGGAAAAUAAAGGAACUAAACUAAAUCAGAGAACCAAACAGUCCAAACCAAUUUGGACACUUCCAACUCAGGCUGUUUUCAGUGCUUUCAUCUUCAGUGGCAUUUUCAAUACCUUCUGCUAUUACUUGGCUAAGCAGAGGGCUGGGAUGCAGAAGGUACAAGAUGGACUCUUCAGAUCAGCCAAUAAGAUGCUAGGUAGAUUGGGAUAAGUGGCUGAAUCUCUUGAUUCUAUUGCUCCUCUUCC